rnacentral:rRNA from 1 species
UUUAAUUGAAGAGUUUGAUCAUGGCUCAGAUUGAACGCUGGCGGCAGGCCUAACACAUGCAAGUCGAACGGUAACAGGGAGCAGCUUGCUGCUCUGCUGACGAGUG